GAUCCGGCGGUGGCAUUAGCUAACUUCCUAAAAGCUUUAUAUUUUAGAAGGUGGAAGACCUGGAUGCUUCAUACUUUGUAUAUAGAUGAUACGAAUUCUGUCUGUCACAUGUCCAUUGUCCAUGACCUCAUUUUCAUGGUUCAGUGACUACUUGAAAAAAAAGUUCAGAUUUUUUGUAAUGUUAAUUUCUCUCUUAUUAUGAGUAAUAGGAUAACUAUAUUUUGUUGUUUGGAUGUACAAGUAACCCGCCACGUCCACUUGUAUUUGUAGUAUUUGUAUUUUUAUCUAUCUGAUGAGUUAAGCCUCUUUCAACUGAUUUUUAUACGACCGCAAAAAAAUUUUUGUGGUCGUAUAUUGGUAUGACGUUGUCGUCGUUGUCUGAAGACACAUUAGUUUUCGCACUCUAACUUUAGUUUAAGUACAUGGAUCUCAAUGAAAUUUUACCAUAAGGUUCAAUACCACAAAAGGAAGGAGGGGAUCGAUUUUGGGGGUUAUGGUACCAACAGUUAAGGAAUUAGGGGCCAAAAAGGGGCCAAAAAUAAGCAUUUUUGUAACUUCCAUACAUAACUUGUGUGUAAGUGUAUGGAUCUCUCUGACAUUGUACCACAAGGUUCCAUAUCACAAAGGGAAUGCUGGGAUUGAUUUUGGGGGUAAUUGCCUCCAAAUUUUAGGAAUUAGGGGCCAAAAAGGGGCAAAAAACAAGCAUUUUUCUAGUUUCAUGACAAUAACUUGUGUGUAAGAGUAUGGAUCUUUAUGAAAUUGUACUACAAGGUUCCAUAUCACAAAGGGAAAGCUGGAAUUGAGUUUGGGGGUAAUUGACCAAAAAGCUUAGGAAGAAUGGGCCAAAAAGGGGCCAAAAAUAAGCAUUUUUCUAGUUUCCAGACAAUAACUUGUGUUCAAGUGUAUGGAUCUCUCUGAAAUUGUACUUCAAGGUACCAUACCACAAAGGGAAGGCUGGGAUUGAUUUUGGGGGUAA